rnacentral:rRNA from 1 species
AUUGAACGCUGGCGGCAGGCCUAACACAUGCAAGUCGAGCGGAUGAAGGGAGCUUGCUCCUGGAUUCAGCGGCGGACGGGUGAGUAAUGCCCAGGAAUCUGCCUGGUAGUGGGGGAUAACGUCCGGAAACGGGCGCUAAUACCGCAUACGUCCUGAGGGAGAAAGUGGGGGAUCUUCGGACCUCACGCUAUCAGAUGAGCCUAGGUCGGAUUAGCUAGUUGGUGGGGUAAAGGCCUACCAAGGCGACGAUCCGUAACUGGUCUGAGAGGAUGAUCAGUCACACUGGAACUGAGACACGGUCCAGACUCCUACGGGAGGCAGCAGUGGGGAAUAUCGGACAAUGGGCGAAAGCCUGAUCCAGCCAUGCCGCGUGUGUGAAGAAGGUCUUCGGAUUGUAAAGCACUUUAAGUUGGGAGGAAGGGCAGUAAGUUAAUACCUUGCUGUUUUGACGUUACCAACAGAAUAAGCACCGGCUAACUUCGUG